rnacentral:misc_RNA from 1 species
GAUGAAGACGCAGUGAAAUGCGAUAAUUAAUGUGAAUUGCAGAAUUCCGUGAAUCAUCGAGUCUUUGAACGCACAUUGCGCCUCAUGGCAUUCCGUGAGGCAUGCCCAUCUCAGCGUUAGAAAAUAUUCUCAAAUUUUAGUUUUGUGCUAAAAUUUGGAUCAUGUCAAGGAAGCUAUUACUAUUAUUGUGAUCGCUCUUUGGAAAUUGAUAGGUCUUUGAGUUGCUACUCAUAGAACGUGAUGAAUCUUUCUUCGUUCUAUUGUAAUUCACUCUGGUAGUCCUAAAACUUGUAUGCCUGUGGCAUAUCUUGUAAUUUGACCUGAGAUUGGGUAGGGAUACCCGCUGAACUUAAGCAUAUCAAUAAGCGGAGGA